rnacentral:misc_RNA from 1 species
GUACGGCUCCACCUUCAGAAGGAGCUGCGGCAGUGGUGUAGGUUGCUGGACGAGGGUGCAUCACAUUCUUGAUUACAGAAAAGUAGAGAUCAAAAUCUGCUUUGUAUUUAGAGCAGUGUGCUUCGAUCCACGUCUCAGCUACACUAGUGGGCACACUAUCCUGGUUGUCCCGCCCAUGCUCUUCAAUGGUAGGGCGAAUUUCUUCAUACACAGAAUUAAGCUUCGAAGUGGCUUCAUUUUUUUAACCCCUCGUACAUGGUAACUUCUUCUCGUGCUUCCUUCGAUGCGAACAAUUUAGCAAAAUCUCCAUCAUUCACUUGCUUACGGCUGGAAGAUUUUACCUUCCGCUUGGGAAGACGUUGGGCUGUCUUCUUCGGUGUUGAACCAGAUCCAAUAUUAAAACUCUUACAUGUGGUAUUACUUGGUUCCAACUUGAGUGUAGAC